rnacentral:rRNA from 1 species
CCCUUAGAUGUUCUGGGCAGCACGCGCGGUACAAUGGUCUUCGCAAACGGAUGCAUUCUCGAAGGAGAAUGCCAAUCUUGGAAUCUAUGCCUUGGUCGGGACAGUUGCUUGCAAUUUUUCGACUCGAACCAGGAAUUCCUUGUAAUCGUGAUUCAUCACAUCACGAUGAAUACGUCCCUGCCCUUUGUACACACCGCCCGUCGCUCCUACCGAUCGAAGAGUUAGGUGAAUUGUUUUGAUCGAUAAGAUUUGACUAUGGUCAACUCUCGUUGUGAAAUUCUGUGAAUCUGACUGUUUAGAGGAAGGAAAAGUCGUAACA